rnacentral:snoRNA from 1 species
CUAACAUGAUGAGACACAUUUUCAUCCAGUUCUGCUACUGAAAUGAAGUGAUGAAUCCUAAAAUACCAUAAUAUGACCUCUGAUGU